GACGAACGCUGGCGGCGUGCUUAACACAUGCCAGUCGAACGGAAAGACCCUGCUUUUGUGGGGUGCUCGAGUGGCGAACGGGUGAGUAACACGUGAGUAACCUGCCCUUGACUUUGGGUUAACUUCAGGAAACUGGGGCUAAUACCGGAUAGGAGCUCCUGCUGCAUGGUGGGGGUUGGAAAGUUUCGGCGGUUGGGGAUGGACUCGCGGCUUAUCAGCUUGUUGGUGGGGUAGUGGCUUACCAAGGCUUUGACGGGUAGCCGGCCUGAGAGGGUGACCGGCCACAUUGGGACUGAGAUACGGCCCAGACUCCUACGGGAGGCAGCAGUGGGGAAUAUUGCACAAUGGGCGGAAGCCUGAUGCAGCAACGCCGCGUGCGGGAUGACGGCCUUCGGGUUGUAAACCGCUUUCGCCUGUGACGAAGCGUGAGUGACGGUAAUGGGUAAAGAAGCACCGGCUAACUACGUG
rnacentral:rRNA from 1 species